AUUGAACGCUGGCGGCAUGCUUUACACAUGCAAGUCGAACGGUAACAGGCCUUCGGGUGCUGACGAGUGGCGAACGGGGGAGUAAUGCAUCGGAACGUGCCCAGAGGUGGGGGAUAACGCAGCGAAAGCUGUGCUAAUACCGCAUGUGAUCUGAGGAUGAAAGCGGGGGACCAGGCAGCAAUGUUUGGCCUCGCGCCUUUGGAGCGGCCGAUGUCAGAUUAGGUAGUUGGUGGGGUAAAGGCCUACCAAGCCGACGAUCUGUAGCUGGUCUGAGAGGACGACCAGCCACACUGGGACUGAGACACGGCCCAGACUCCUACGGGAGGCAGCAGUGGGGAAUUUUGGACAAUGGGCGCAAGCCUGAUCCAGCAAUGCCGCGUGAGGGAAGAAGGCCUUCGGGUUGUAAACCGCUUUUGUACGGAACGAAAAGGCUCUGGCUAAUACCUGGGGCUGAUGACGGUACCGUAAGAAUAAGCACCGGCUAACUACGUG
rnacentral:rRNA from 1 species